CACACACACACACACACACACACACACUCAACAUUUACAUGAACUUUCAAACUCACAGUUUCUCCUGUUUUCGACUCGUAGAACUGAGUCACGUCUCUCUGAUGUUUGUGUAUUUGACGCUUUCUGUUUUCCUUCGACAUGCAGAUUAAAAAGAAAAAGCUUCUGUGAUGUUUCCAGCAGCUUUUCAUUUCAGGUUCCGUCUCCUCUGUAAUUAAACAGGAGGAGGAGGAGAGACACUCGACGGGACGCGGACGCUGAUCGCAACAUACGUCGGUGUCGCGUCGCGCUUCGGUCGUUGGAUCGCUGUGGAUCGUUCCCGACCUCCGACGACCAACCUGUGGACUUCUGGACCUCGUGUUAAUAUGAAUAUUCUUUAAUAACUGUGACCCGCAGCAGGUGAGACUCUGCGGCCGAGCGACGACACCUGGACGUCACCAGCUGGUUUGUGAGCGGCCAUCUUGUUUUUUUAAACCAGAAGUGACCAUCUUUGCCUGACUGACAGCUCGUCCACUCCCUGUCCACCUGCACCCAUUGGACGGUACCAGCUGUCAAUCACACAGCUCCUGAACAGUCUGUUGUCGAAGAACGAAGAUAACAAGAGGAGAAGAAGAAGAAGAAGAAGAAGAAGAAGAAGAGAAAUGAUGAGGAGGAGGAAGCUGAUAUAAUUUGCCUGUCAGAAUUCAUUAGGCCUAAACUUGUGACACACACACACACACACACACACGCACAC